AACGGUACGCACCAUUCGCCUUAAAGUUAAGGACUUAAAGGUUGUGAGCCCCGAAAGUUGAGGCCUGAGUUUGAGUUAUCAAAGACCGAAAAUGUGGGAUGGAGGGGUGUACAAAAAAAGAAAUACUUUAUCUCCUCCUUUACCUUACCCACCCUAUGCAAAUGUUUAGGAGUAUGCCACAGAGAAUCUGACUGAUCGGUUUUCUGCAGCUUCAUUUGGAUACUGAAUAGUCUUUCCCAAGUCUCUGUUCUUUACUUGUACUUAGCGUGGAAAAAAUGUUGGAGGUGAUGGUUAUCAAAACAUUUAAUCGCGUUCUAUAGCCAACGUUUGGAAAUAUUGAUUCAUAAUGUUAAAACCUGAAAAAGAUAUUCAAGCUCCUAAACCAAGAAGCUUGAAAUUGAAGUUCCUUGGCAAAAGUAUCUGUUCCUGUACUUGCUGGAGCGGAAAUUAGAGAUGGAGGUAAUUCUAUUGAAGUGGCUCUAGUUGAUGAUACACUGGAGCAAUUUUUGACUCUGGGCCAGAAGCCUCAGCUAUAGUGGAAAUAGUUGUUCUUAAGGGAGAAUUUGGAGAUGAUGACGGAGCUAAUUGGACAUCGGAGGAGUUCUGUAGCAAUGUUGUGCAAGUGAGGGAAGGAAAAAUGUCUCUUCUUGCAGAAAGUGUACAUGUGAGACGUAAUAAAGUCAUUGGUUAUAUAGAUAAGAUCAGAUUUGCACAUUCUUCAGUCUAUAUGAAGACUGGGAUGUCCAUGCAAGGUUGCACAUUCUUCAGUCUUUAUGAAGACUAGGAUUUCAAUAGUAUUCAAGUUAAAGAAGCAAGGACUGAAUCUUUCACUGUCACGGAUGGGCACCAACUAUAUUAUGAGAAGCAUGAUCCACCAUGUCUAUCCGAUGGAGUAAAGCGGUUACAAAACAUAGGUAGAGGCAGUAAGUAUCGCCUCCGUGAUGAACAUGUUGACAGCGUAGAGGACUUUUUGAUUUCGGUCCUAAAAGACCGUGAGCGACUCAAAUGAUUUAUUCCCAACAGUCUCUUAGUAAAUCGAAGGACUUUGAUGGAGAUUUAGAGGUUGGUUUAUCUCUGUCUAAAACUCGAAUGAAUGUUUUUGCUGGUAUAUUCACCCACAGUCUCAGUUUUCUAUAGCAAACUUGAGUUUAUUAAUUACCAAGAAAAUAGGCAUAAAGUCUAACCUCUUGAGUCCCAGAUGAAAUACUUUAAAUUGUAGCUGUAAAUUGUAAUACUAGUCCAAAUAAGAAUCCUUUUCAAGGCCGGUAUUUCGUGAAUCUUUAUGUCAUCCAAGACACUAUUAUUAUUCAAGUACUUUAUAUUGGUUCUUUACUUCUUUCUACAUUGGAGUGAGGCUUAUUUUUUUUCUCACCCCCAUUGAUAUACUUUUUGUGCUUUGCAUUUUAUCCUGUUAGUUCUUUCUAGUAUAAAAUCACUCAAUCAAAUUUUUCAUUAAAAAAAACUCACUUUAUCCUCUUUAACAUUUUGGAUUUGAAAAAUAAAUACUCCCUCCACAUAAAAUCCCUUCAUCGAUCUUAAAUCAAUGGCUAGGAAUAAGUUGAAUUAUCACAUAUAUUUUAAAAAUGUCAAAAGCGACUUUCACUAAAAAUAAAUUUUAAUUUUACUCUUCUAAAUAAUUAAAAAAUGUAAGCAAUAGCAUUGUAUAAAAAUUUAAGCAAUAGCAUCGUAUGUCAUGAUAUCACUAGCUUGUAAAAAAAAUGACCUGUCAAGAGAAAACCAAAAA